rnacentral:rRNA from 2 species
ACCGGGCAGACAACAGGUAUGCCUCAGUAACGGCGAGUGAAGCGGCAACAGCUCAAAUUUGAAAUCUGGCCCCCCGGCCCGAGUUGUAAUUUGCAGAGGAUGCUUCGGGCGCGGUGCCUUCCAAGUCCCCUGGAACGGGGCGCCGGAGAGGGUGAGAGCCCCGUACGGUUGGCGGCCAAGCCUGUGUGAAGCUCCUUCGACGAGUCGAGUAGUUUGGGAAUGCUGCUCUAAGCGGGAGGUAGACCCCUUCUAAAGCUAAAUAUAGGCCAGAGACCGAUAGCGCACAAGUAGAGUGAUCGAAAGAUGAAAAGCACUUUGAAAAGAGGGUUAAACAGCACGUGAAAUUGUUGAAAGGGAAGCGCUUGCGACCAGACGUGCGCCGGGGUGCUCAGCGGGCGUUCUCGCCCGUGCACUCGCCCCGGUGCAGGCCAGCGUCGGUUCGCGUGGGAGGAUAAAGGCGCCUGGAAUGUGGCUCCCCCGGGAGUGUUAUAGCCAGGCGUGCCAUGCUCCCCUGCGGACCGAGGUACGCGUUCUGCAAGGACGCUGGCGUAAUGGUCCCCAGCGACCCGUCUUGAAACACGGACCAAGGAGUCGAGGUUUUGCGCGAGUGUUUGGGUGUUAAACCCGCACGCGUAAUGAAAGUGAACGUAGGUGGGAGCUUCGGCGCACCACCGACCGAUCCUGAUGUUCUCGGAUGGAUUUGAGUAAGAGCGUAGGGCCUCGGACCCGAAAGAUGGUGAACUAUGCUUGGAUAGGGUGAAGCCAGAGGAAACUCUGGUGGAGGCUCGCAGCGGUUCUGACGUGCAAAUCGAUCGUCAAAUCUGAGCAUGGGGCGAAAGACUAAUCGACCAUGCUAGGGGGU